GAUGAACGCUGGCGGCGUGCCUAAUACAUGCAAGUCGAGCGAACGGACGAGAAGCUUUUUUUCCUGAUGUUAGCGGCGGACGGGCGAGUAAAACGUGGAUAACCUACCUAUAUGACUUGGAUAAUUUCGGGAAACCGCAGCUAAUACUGGCUAAUAUUUCGAACCGCAUGGUUCAAAAGUUAUAGACGGUCUUGCUGACUCUUAUAGAUGGAUUCGCGCUGCAUUAGCUAGUUGGUAAGGUAACGGCUUACCAAGGCAACGAUGCAUAGCCGACCUGAGAGGGUGAUCGGCCACACUGGAACUGAGACACGGUCCAGACUCCUACGGGAGGCAGCAGUAGGGAAUCUUCCGCAAUGGGCGAAAGCCUGACAGAGCAAAACCGCGUGAGUGAUGAAGGUCUUCGGAUCGUAAAGCUCUGUUGUUAGGGAAGAACAUAAGUGUGAGUAACUGUGCACAUCUUGACGGUACCUAAAGAAAAAGCAACGGCUAACUACGUG
rnacentral:rRNA from 1 species